UACGUAGGGUGCAAGCGUUAUCCGGAAUUAUUGGGCGUAAAGAGCUCGUAGGCGGUUUGUCGCGUCUGCUGUGAAAACCCGAGGCUCAACCUCGGGCCUGCAGUGGGUACGGGCAGACUAGAGUGCGGUAGGGGAGAUUGGAAUUCCUGGUGUAGCGGUGGAAUGCGCAGAUGUCAGGAGGAACACCGAUGGCGAAGGCAGAUCUCUGGGCCGUAACUGACGCUGAGGAGCGAAAGCGUGGGGAGCGAACAGG
rnacentral:rRNA from 1 species